rnacentral:rRNA from 1 species
CGGCGGGUAGGCCGACCACGGUCGACGAUGCGUAGGGGUUCUGAGAGGAAGGCCCCCCACACUGGUACUGAGACACGGACCAGACUCCUACGGGAGGCAGCAG